AUAUGGCAUAAUAUAUCUUAUUUUAUAAUAUAUUACAUCUAUCUUACGGUAAAACAAACCAGAUCUAAUCAGUUAAAAAAAAUCAAUGCAGUUCUGUACUCCACACGAUAGAUGGUGGUAUUGCACAUUUGUCAAGUCGGCUCGGCUGAAAUGGACCAACAAAUCAAGAGGAAGAAGCUGUUGUGGUUUGAAAAUUGUAGCGCGUUGGAUUGCGAGCGCGAGUGCCCUGCAAGAUAUUUGAGUGUGUCCAUGUAAAAUGAGCAGUCUAGCAGUUUUAAUACGUAACCAUCAAGCGUGAUUGUGUCCUGAAGACCUACCUCAUUUGAAGAGUCUGUGCAUCUACCUCAAUGAAGACUUAAAGGAAUAUGUGGACUGAAAGUGGCAGAAUCUCAUCGCACACACAACAGUGGAGAUCUUUAUCAUUUGGGCUGAGGAUGCUGGUCCUGGGGACAGACCUACAGAUGUUAGUGUAGAAGUUUUGAACCUGCUGAGUGUCACAUAUAGAUUGGAUGGACUUUUUGGGUUCAUGUACACUUAAAGGGUUUUUUUAACCAGAACUGAAAACGUUUAAUUAUCCGUGUCGUACCAAACAUUGAUUUGUCUUCGAAGUACAAAUUAAGAUACUUCAGGUGAAAUCUGAGAGCUCUCAUUCUCUAUAGACAGCAAUGGGCCCAACUUGUUUAAAGUCCAGAUAAAAACCUAAAACAUCCUCAAAACAGACCACAUGCUUUCAGUUGUUCAAUCAGAAUAUUUUUAAGCUACAAGAAUAAUUUUGAGUGCAUAUGAAGCAAAAAUAA